CCAAGCCUGUGAUGCUUCGUUAUCCCUGUCUGAGCAGAUCAGCUGAGGGAAAACCAUAUUCUGAGGCUGGG